rnacentral:rRNA from 1 species
AGUGAACGCUGGCGGUAGGCCUAACACAUGCAAGUCGAACGGCAGCACAGUAAGAGCUUGCUCUUACGGGUGGCGAGUGGCGGACGGGUGAGGAAUACAUCGGAAUCUACUUUUUCGUGGGGGAUAACGUAGGGAAACUUACGCUAAUAACGCAUACGACCUACGGGUGAAAGCAGGGGAUCUUCGGACCUUGCGCGAUUGAAUGAGCCGAUGUCGGAUUAGCUAGUUGGCGGGGUAAAGGCCCACCAAGGCGACGAUCCGUAGCUGGUCUGAGAGGAUGAUCAGCCACACUGGAACUGAGACACGGUCCAGACUCCUACGGGAGGCAGCAGUGGGGAAUAUUGGACAAUGGGCGCAAGCCUGAUCCAGCCAUACCGCGUGGGUGAAGAAGGCCUUCGGGUUGUAAAGCCCUUUUGUUGGGAAAGAAAAGCAGCAGGUUAAUACCCCGCUGUUCUGACGGUACCCAAAGAAUAAGCACCGGCUAACUUCGUG